AAUCAUCAUAUGUUGCAGAUUGAUAAUGAAGCAUUAGUCUAGACAAUCUUGAAUUUUAAAAUACUUAUUGUUAUGUUACUAGUAGGAAACUGCACGGAAGCCAUUUCUGGUGCUUUUGGUUAUAAGGGAUAGACAUUUUAGGUUGUUGAAAUGAUAAAUAGUCUCAUUUUCAUAUGGUUCUGGAAUGCCAGAAACAUUUUUAUGCACAAUGCUAUAUGAUCAUUCUGCCA
rnacentral:misc_RNA from 1 species